UGCGGAACACGUACGCAACUUACCCCUUAACUAAAGUAGCCCAUAGAAAUGUGGAUUAACCCUUUAUAGUACGACUGGUUGGCAUCAACUGGUUUAAAACUCCGGUGGUUAGGGAUGGGCGUGCGUCUGAUUAGGUAGUUGGUAGGGUAACGCUACCAAGCCAACGAUCAGUAGCUGAUGUGAGAGCAUGAUCAGCCACACGGGCACUGACACGGGCCCGACUCCUACGGGAGGCAGCAGUAAGGAAUAUUGGUCAAUGGACGCAAGUGAACCAGCCAUGCCGCGUGAAGGAUGAAGGUCCUCUGGAUUGUAAACUUCUUUUAUCUGACGAAACACUGGUUUUCUAACCAGCUUGACGGUACCAGAGGAAUAAGCACCGGCUAACCGUGCCAGCAGCCGCGGUAAUACGGAGGGUGCAAGCGUUAUCCGGAUUCACUGGGUUAAGGGUGCGUAGGUGGGUAUGUAAGUCCGUGGUGAAAUCCUGCAGCUUAACUGCAGAAGCCGUGGAUACUAUAUAUCUUGAAUAUCGUGGAGGUUAGUGGAAUAGGUCAUGUAGCGGAAAUGCUUAGAGAUGACAUGGAACACCGAUUGCGAAGGCAGCUGGCUACACGAUAAUACACUGAGGCACGAAAGCGUGGGUAGCAAACAGGAUUAGAUACCCUGGUAGUCCACGCUAAACGAUGGAUACUCGACAUCAGCGAUAUUACUGUUGGUGUCUGAGCGAAAGCAUUA
rnacentral:rRNA from 1 species